AAAUUGAUGUUGAAAAGAAGAGUACUUCAAAUGAAAAGCGUAGAGAGUUUCCGGCCGGUGAAAGGAAAUAUGGAAGUUUGAAGGAACAUGGUCUUGGAGUUGCACGAUCGAAAUGUAGGUCGUGACGGGUUCACCCGUUAUCGUGAUAAAGUAUGGUUGUACUUGAUGAGGUCUUUUUCGUGAGGAAAAGAUGAAAAUAGGUGGUAACGCGAAUUCACUUUCGUCCUAUCG
rnacentral:ncRNA from 1 species